UACGAAGGGGGCUAGCGUUGCUCGGAAUCACUGGGCGUAAAGGGUGCGUAGGCGGGUCUUUAAGUCAGGGGUGAAAUCCUGGAGCUCAACUCCAGAACUGCCUUUGAUACUGGUAAGCUCGAGUCCGGGAGAGGUGAGUGGAACUGCGAGUGUAGAGGUGAAAUUCGUAGAUAUUCGCAAGAACACCAGUGGCGAAGGCGGCUCACUGGCCCGGUACUGACGCUGAGGUGCGAAAGCGUGGGGAGCAAACAGG
rnacentral:rRNA from 1 species